rnacentral:rRNA from 1 species
UACGGAGGGUGCAAGCAUUAAUCGGAACUAUUGGGCGUAAAGGGCGCGUAGGCUGAUAAACAAGUCAGAUGUGAAAUACCAACUCAACUUUGGUGCUGCAUUUGAAACUGUUUUGUCUAGAGGGUUGACGGAGAAAACGGAAUUCCACGUGUAGCGGUGAAAUGCGUAGAUACGUGGAAGAACACCAGUGGCGAAGGCGGCCAUCUGGACAGAUACUGACGCUGAGACGGCGAAAAGCGUGGGGAGCAAACAGG